AGCGCGCGUGGGGCGGUAACAGAAAUUAGCUUGCUAAUUUGCUGACGAGCGGCGGACGGGUGAGUAAUGCCUGGGAAUAUGCCUUGAUGUGGGGGAUAACUAUUGGAAACGAUAGCUAAUACCGCAUAAUGUCUUCGGACCAAAGAGGGGGAUCUUCGGACCUCUCGCGUCAAGAUUAGCCCAGGUGAGAUUAGCUAGUUGGUGGGGUAAGAGCUCACCAAGGCGACGAUCUCUAGCUGGUCUGAGAGGAUGAUCAGCCACACUGGAACUGAGACACGGUCCAGACUCCUACGGGAGGCAGCAGUGGGGAAUAUUGCACAAUGGGCGAAAGCCUGAUGCAGCC
rnacentral:rRNA from 1 species